AUCGAAUCUCAUUCCUUCUCUGCACAACUCCAUCGAAACCGCUGCAAAUCCUCUCCACAGACGCGCCUCACCUCUUCCUCUGCAUUCGACCAAGAGCAUCCGAGAGGGAGAGCCACUUGGUGAGCUGCAUCCGUGAGCUAGGAGGAGGGAAUGUGAGCUGCCAGAAAUUUCUGGUUCUGCCGUGAGUUGGAGCGAAGCCAGGGAGGAGAUUUGCAGGAAGUUUCACCAUUCUGUACCUUCAUUCCAACCAACUCCAACCAACCAAACUCAAAUCUACCAGCUACAACCAAUUCCAGCCGCAACUUAGAAGCCAGGAACCACCGACUGCACUUGAAGCCGUGAGCAAGGAAGAAAUUUCUGGAAAUUUUCGUGUGAGAGAUUGGCUACUAUCUAAGGUAAAUUCUGGAUUAAUUAGGUUGUUUAUUAGUGGAGCAAGCUACAUCUGAGCUUGCAUGUUCAGAUUAUGCAAUCGGGUGCUGAAAUCAAACCAUUAGGAAAAUUUCUGUUUUGAUAAAAUGUUGCUACCGAGACUCUGAGGUGUUAUUGCAGCUCCAAUUGUGUUUUUAUGUGACAAUCUGAACAUCUAAGUGUCUUUAGCUGAGUGAAAACUUGAAGAUUAAGACCAUGCAUGUUGAAUUGGGCAUUCGGAUGAAGUGUUAAAGCAGAGAAAAUUUCUGGUUCGGUUAAGAAAAUUUCUGCCGAGGAGCUGGCUUGAAUUUGUAGUCUUAUUUCUGAUUUCCUGCGACAAUCUGAGGUUGUUUAAGUGUUUAGCUAGUCAAAAACAAGAAGCUUAAUUUAUCUAGUGACAUGCAUGUGAUGUUAGGCAAUCGGAUGAGAUUUUUAAGAAAAAUAAUUCUGUUAUGUGCUAGUAUAGAAACUGCCGAGAGCUUAGUUUAAUUUUUUUUUGCAGCCUGAUUUAGUUUAAUGUGUUGGUUAAGCUUAUAAACAUGAUUAGAUGGUUAAUAACAAGUUAAUUAAGCUCUGCAUGCAGCUAAUUAGUUAGUUUAAACCAGAAAAUAAAAUAAUAAUGCAAUCUGUUGCAUGCAUGUUUGUCCGAAGCUAGCUGUACAGAAUUUAUGGAAAUUUUGAGAAUUUGCAGCUGUUGUUUAAGUUAAAUUUUGAAUUGGAAAUAUUAAUUAGCUAGAUAUGUUUUUUGCAUGACUAAUUUGGGUAUCUAAAACCAGGUUUAGCCGAGGAAAAUUGGAUUUUAUAAACACCUAAGUGCUGGAAAAAUUCUGGAAUAGCCGAGAGGUUUGAUCAGAAAUUUUCAGUUUGUUUUCUUUUGGAAUUUUAACCUAUUUCUGGAUUUUCCUUGGAAAAUGAUGGCUUAGAAAUACCGAGGAGUUGUAAGUUUUAAGUGGUGUAAGUUGUUUAGCAAUGAAAUAUUUGAUAAAUUGAAAAUGGAACCAGAAAAUGUUGUGUUAUACAUGUGGAGAUUCUUAAGUGAUAGCUAAAGGGUGAGUUGGAACCUUAACUUGAUUUUUAAAUUGUUCCUUGAAUCAUGAUGGGUGUAAAUGCUUGGAAUAUGUUGUUUUGAAGUUCUAUAAGAAGUGUAUGGAUGGUUUAAAUAAAAACAUGUUGGUGUUAAAAGAGAAAAGGAGUUUUCACAAGUGAGAAAUUGAAAUUUCAGAUUUUCGGAUGUCCCUGACCAGUCUCAAUAAAAUGUUUAUAUCUUGGUGUAGGAAAAUCCGUUUAAGGCGCCGUCAGUGGCAUUUGAAACUAGAAUCAUAGACCUUUGUCCUGUAGAAAUUUCACAUUUUUUCUCCAUGUGUACUGCUGUUUGUAAAUCCAUGAAGUAGACUGUUUUGGUAGGAAUGUCCUGUUUCUUUGUGAAAUUGAAAUUGGGUUUUGGAUUGAGAUUUUAGCUUACUUGUGGUUUAAAUUCUUGAUUAAAUUGUGGUUGGAAGUAAUUGAUGUUGUCAAGGGCUAAUGAUUGAUGAAGCCCUUGGCCAUUUGAAUGAUUUUAUAAGUACUACAGGGUGAUAAAAGUUAAUUGCUGGAAUGUCUUGGAGGCUUUGCCUUUAUUUUUAUUUGCUUAUGAUGGGCUUGCUGAAACCAAGUGCUAAUGAUUGAUGAAGCCUUGGUUGAUCAUUUUAUUUUAUUCAGAAAUGCACUUGUUGAAAUUUAGGGCUAAUGAUUGACGAAACCCUAGUAAUUUGCUAUGUGAUUUUUGCCAUAUUUUGAUCCAUAUUAUGAUUUCGAAACGGAAUCGGAGCUGGGGAAGUUGUAUCGACCUUGCGAACUCGAGUGACUGUGGUCAAAGUAAUCAAAAAUAUUUUCCAGCUAGUAUUAUAUUAUAAAACUCAAUAUCUAGUGUUUUGCCUAAAAACUUUCUAACCCAAUAAUUCCCUUUAGCUCAAACUAGCCUUGAUGGCUAUAGCAAAUAAGUUCUAUAGCUUUUGAAAACUCUAAAUCUUAUUUUAAUUCCUUUUCUUUCCUUAAGCUUUGCACUUGGAUAGUUAACUAUAGGAAAAGUUUCAAAAUACGAGUUAUACUAAUUUUGGUGAAAAGCUUGGGAAACUUGCUCGGCAAGAAACCCUAUUUUAGGAAAAAUAGUUUUUAUGGAUAAUUUUUGCAAAAACCGUAACUUUAGAGAAAUGUUCAAAGUAACUUUCUAACAUUGAUAUUGAGAGGUUUGUCGACUUAUUUCAAGAAAAUAAUACUAAUUACCUUUUAUAAGAAAAGUAUUCUAAGGAAAACUAAAGGAAACAAUUCUUCUACUUUCGUCAAGAUUCAACCUAUGGAAAUUCUUGAUUUUUCUAAGGGAAAGUGAACUAGUAGUAUAUUAGAUAUACCUCAAUAUCUAUAAGCUUAAAAACUGAGUAGAAACUUAUAGUUUCAAAUUUUGGCUUUUAGGGUUUUUCGAGAACGCGGAAUUCGAUCCCCAACUUGAUAGCUGAACUCCACUCUUGGUGAGUGUCCCUGUCUGUUCUAUGUUUACCUGCUUAAAGUACCUUUUUGACUUGAUGUGUGAUAAGUUGAAAAAUUGGUUUCUGACCCAUCGAAGUGAGUUGUGUGUACUUUAUCGCACUAGCCGUUCGAGUGGUGACUUGUGCAAAAACAUUUUUCUCCUGAAACCAUAAAUCUAAAAUGUAGUUGCGUCGUUGGGUGAAUCCCUCGAUUUCUGUAUCCAACUACCAUAAAUCUAAAAUAUAGUUGCGUCGUUGGGUGAAUCCCUCGACUUCUGUAUCCAACUACCAUAAACCUAAAAUGUAGUUGCAUCGUUGGGUGAAUCCCUCGACUUCUGUAUCCAACUACUGUGACGGGUAUAUCUCGAGGAUACUACGUCCUUAGUCGGUGAGCGGGCCCGGGAUAGGGGUAUGAAUGGUGACGGGUUAGGUAUCAAAAUAAGACGCUCUACAUGGAUUAUAAGUAGUGAGAGUUGACGGAGGGACGAAAAAUGAUGAUCAAGCGAGGAAAAUGGCUCCUGAGAGCCCACGUAUCCUACCUUGUGCUGUUACAUGAUUUUCUAACUGUUUAAAGUUGUUCAGUUAUUAAUCGCUGUUUGAAAUUAUGUGAUUGCAUGUUUUGGAGCACCACUGAGUUUUAGCUCACCCCACGUUUAUUAUUUUCCUUAACAGGUUCUGGAAACUGAAAGCUGGAUGCUUACUUAUGUUUUUUUUUCUUUUGGACUGCAUUUGAACACUAUAACUUAUUCUGUGGGCUGUAAUGUGUUAUUUGGGAUAAUGUAUUUUCCUUUUUGGAUUGCCACUUGAAAUUGGAAAAUGUGUAAACCCUAAUUCGAUUACUUGGCUUGUAAGUUGUAUUAUGGAUUUAU
rnacentral:lncRNA from 1 species